UGCAAACCUCGUCUUUCUUCCUCUUUUAGAUCUGCUGAAGAUGGUGAUAGUGAUUUCCAGUUAUAGUGGAUGCUUAACAAGUGGUGGUGGUUUCGAAAAUAUGUUUUUCAGAAAACAUUUUUAGAUCUAAGAUUUUUAGAGUAGGUGGAGUUUAUUGAUGGAGCCAACAACAGUCAGUAUCAUUGUCGCCAUCAUUUCUAACUUUGAUCAUUUCUUCCAUGAGCCUGCUCAGAAGUUACCUGCUGACGUUGCACCUCCACCGGAUGCCAACAAACGUGCAAAAGAAUUGGUGAGCUUCCACGUCUAACCUGACUUGAAUAUUUUACCACACUGACAAAGAGAGGUACUUUUCGAGGGUGCUCAAGAAAGUGGAGAAGAACAAUGGGAAGGUUUUGUAGAUGGAAGAUUUUCUGGAUUUUCUA